AUGUCCCACGUGUCCACUCGGUGCCUGCGCACCGUCUACACUCUCCUGACGACUGCCUGUUACGUGUGUUGGCC
rnacentral:sRNA from 1 species